rnacentral:rRNA from 1 species
ACCGCAUAACGUCGCAAGACCAAAGUGGGGGACCUUCGGGCCUCAUGCCAUCAGAUGUGCCCAGAUGGGAUUAGCUAGUAGGUGGGGUAACGGCUCACCUAGGCGACGAUCCCUAGCUGGUCUGAGAGGAUGACCAGCCACACUGGAACUGAGACACGGUCCAGACUCCUACGGGAGGCAGCAGUGGGGAAUAUUGCACAAUGGGCGCAAGCCUGAUGCAGCCAUGCCGCG